ensembl:lncRNA
CUGCGCCGCGGCUCCCGUGGGAACAUGAAGCGUUGCUGCUUGAAAGCUGUGACGACGUGAACACGCGGUGGUUUAGCAGCUCUGGAUCCUCUCUGGGCCGAUGGGUAUGAGCUGGGCCCGUUCUCCACGUGCUGGGGGAUGGCGACAUGAAGCGUAUCUUCCUCCCUCAUCUGGACAGAAUGGUACAGACGGACUCUCUGGUCCUGUUUGACUUGCAUCCCCAAUCACUGCGGCCA